GAUGAACGCUGACAGAAUGCUUAACACAUGCAAGUCUACUUGAAUUUGGGUUUUUUAACUUCGAUUUGGGUGGCGGACGGGUGAGUAACGCGUAAAGAACUUGCCUCACAGUUAGGGACAACAUUUGGAAACGAAUGCUAAUACCUGAUAUUAUGAAUAUAUGGCAUCAUAUAAUUAUGAAAGCUAUAAGCGCUGUGAGAGAGCUUUGCGUCCCAUUAGCUAGUUGGAGAGGUAACGGCUCACCAAGGCGAUGAUGGGUAGCCGGCCUGAGAGGGUGAACGGGCACAAGGGGACUGAGACACGGCCCUUACUCCUACGGGAGGCAGCAGUGGGGAAUAUUGGACAAUGGACCAAGAGUCUGAUCCAGCAAUUCUGUGUGCACGAUGACGUUUUUCGGAAUGUAAAGUGCUUUCAGUUGGGAAGAAAAAAAUGACGGUACCAACAGAAGAAGUGACGGCUAAAUACGUG
rnacentral:rRNA from 1 species